rnacentral:tRNA from 2 species
GAGGGUAUAGCUCAGCUUGGUAGAGCAGCGGACUUUUAAUCCGUUGGUCGAAGGUUCGAAUCCUUCUACCCUCA